AUUGAACGCUGGCGGCAGGCCUAACACAUGCAAGUCGAACGGUAACAGGAAGAAGCUUGCUUCUUUGCUGACGAGUGGCGGACGGGUGAGUAAUGUCUGGGAAACUGCCUGAUGGAGGGGGAUAACUACUGGAAACGGUAGCUAAUACCGCAUAACGUCGCAAGACCAAAGAGGGGGACCUUCGGGCCUCUUGCCAUCGGAUGUGCCCAGAUGGGAUUAGCCUGUUGGUGGGGUAACGGCUCACCAAGGCGACGAUCCCUAGCUGGUCUGAGAGGAUGACCAGCCACACUGGAACUGAGACACGGUCCAGACUCCUACGGGAGGCAGCAGUGGGGAAUAUUGCACAAUGGGCGCAAGCCUGAUGCAGCCAUGCCGCGUGUAUGAAGAAGGCCUUCGGGUUGUAAAGUACUUUCAGCGGGGAGGAAGGGAGUAAAGUUAAUACCUUGGCUCAUUGACGUUACCCGCAGAAGAAGCACCGGCUAACUCCGUG
rnacentral:rRNA from 1 species